UACGAAGGGGGCUAGCGUUGCUCGGAAUCACUGGGCGUAAAGCGCACGUAGGCGGCUUUUUAAGUCAGGGGUGAAAUCCUGGAGCUCAACUCCAGAACUGCCUUUGAUACUGAGAGCUUGAGUCCGGGAGAGGUGAGUGGAACUGCGAGUGUAGAGGUUGAAAUUCGUAGAUAUUCGCAAGAACACCAGUGGCGAAGGCGGCUCACUGGCCCGGUACUGACGCUGAGGUGCGAAAAGCGUGGGGAGCAAACAGG
rnacentral:rRNA from 1 species